GGAUAGUAUGCGCAGAUGUUGAGUCUUCUUGUCUUCUCUUGGUUAUUUUCCAUUAUCUAUACUUAUGACCACACGAGCAACCCUUGAGAAUAAUCAAAUAUUUAAUGGGGGGGUAUGAUUGCCAACCUGAGAAAUAGGCUGUGUAAUAUUGUGAUCUCAAGGUAGGCUAUUUUCCCUUAGGUCAGGCUAUAUUUUAAAACGAUCUUACCACAGAAUUAAGAAUAACGAUUUUCACUGGGCUGAGACCUAAUCUUACCCUUUCCAAAUGCAGUUGACAUAUUUACGUAACUGGAUUGGAGUAUGUAACAAACACAGGAGCCAAAGCGGCCUACACACAGGAGCAGACAAGGACAGGGUGACUCUUCACACAUGUGCACGUGUUCUUUUUCAAACGACUUUGGGUAGACAUUGGUCAGACAUCUGCGGGGGCUGCCAUGUCAGUUAGAGAUCAAACACCGUGGGACAAUCCUUACUACAGUGAGCUCCUAUGAAGCAGUGAUCAUAUCUAUAAAUAUCCCGAUGUUUAUUCAACCUGCUCGGACCGUCACAAAAUUGAAAAUGUUUCACUGCUGCCCUCUGCUGAGAAAACGGGACAGUGAUCAGAGGAGAAGAGCGAGUAGAAGAAAUUGAAAGAAAGGCAAAAGAAAGCAGUCUAAAUGGACUAGGCCCGACCUGCUUCGAUUCAACACGCGUGUGAAGUUAAGAGAGGUAGAUAGAACAGAACAGAGGAAAAACAGUGGAGAGAAGACAAAGAAACAGAGAUGGCUCAAAGAUUGACACCAAGAAAAUCGUUCUUCGGUGCUCUGAUGUUUCUUGUCUUCCCACAUACAGGGAUAUCAAACAAAGAGAUAUCCAUUUCUCAAACAAACGAGGAAGCAGCCAUCAUCCUGACCUGUCACCUGUCUGGGAAUAUGACAGUCAUUCAGACAAGCUGGGUGAUGAGCCCUAAUAGAACUAAUGUAGGCACCUUCCACCCCGUGUACGGCACCCAUGUCCUCCCACAGUACACGGAACACGUGGAGAUCCUCAGUGAUCCUCCCAACUCCCAUAGGAGCUCCUUGAGGCUGAAGAACGGGGCGAUGAAUGGACCAAUCUCUUCUGCUGUGUGUUCACCACCUUCCCCUCAGGCACGCUGGACUGCUGUACAGACAUCAACCACAACACCACCCAAGGUACACCACCUCUCUGUCCUCCACAACACCACCCAAGGUACACAACCUCUCUGUCCUCCACAACACCACCCAAGGUACACAACCUCUCUGUCCACCAACCUCAUGUGGCAGUGUAGUGUGUGGGACAGUAUCAAGCCAUGAUGGCACUGCCAACCCAUAUGUCCACAUGUUUUCACUUUGAGAAAUGAGUCUGGAGUGAUUUAUGGAAUAUCUUAAGUGAGCGCAACUUUUGAGUACUUUUGUAGAAUAAUGGAAAUUGCACGUAUAGGUGCGGUGUGUAGGAUUAAGGAUGCUCUAUAAGCAGAAAUAAAAUAUAGUAUUUAUAAUUAUGUUUUCAUUUGUGUGCGGGUCCUCGUCCUCGAGGCUGCCAUGUUGCGCUGCCAUGUUCCUCCAGUAGCCCAGAAAGACGCCCAUACACUGGCACUAGAGAGGGCCUUUCGUGCUUUUAUGGCACCCGCCAGCCACCGUAGCUUCUCCUACAUGCUGGAAAAGGGGAAGUAUUCAGUUGGUUGCAUUCUGCAGCCUCAUCACUAGAUGCCACUAAAUCUUACAUACUGUACCUUUAAGAAAAGAUGUGUAUGUAAUUCUAGCAGACUUCAUGGCAUCACCUGACCAAAAUGGUUUUAGAGCUGCAAAGCAUGCACUGUUAACAGGAAAAACCAGUCUGAUGGUGUGUAAGGCCUGUCUUAGGUCUAGUGUGUUGACUCUGUAUGUACUUUGGGGAUCUUCAGUCGCAGAGGGGGAUGUUGGUCUCCAUCUGAUACAGAUGUGGCACUGGAAAAAGCCCCAAUUCGUGCAGACUCAGGAUGGGUAUGAAAGACUGCACACUCUGAAAUAUCACAACAGCAAA
ensembl:lncRNA